rnacentral:rRNA from 1 species
UCGAGGAUCUUCGGCAAUGGGCGCAAGCCUGACCGAGCGACGCCGCGUGCGCGAUGAAGGCCUUCGGGUUGUAAAGCGCUGUCGAGGGGGAGGAAAGCCGCAAGGCCUGACCUAUCCCUGGAGGAAGCACGGGCUAAGUUCGUGCCAGCAGCCGCGGUAAGACGAACCGUGCGAACGUUGUUCGGAAUCACUGGGCUUAAAGGGCGCGUAGGCGGGUUGUCAAGUCGGGGGUGAAAUCGUUCGGCCCAACCGGACAAGGGCCCCCGAUACUGGCAGUCUUGAGGGAGGUAGGGGUCGGUGGAACUUCCGGUGGAGCGGUGAAAUGCGUAGAUAUCGGAAGGAACGCCGGUGGCGAAAGCGGCCGACUGGACCUCUUCUGACGCUGAGGCGCGAAAGCUAGGGGAGCGAACGGGAUUAGAUACCCCCGUAGUCC